CUUAUUUGAGACAGUAAAAUAGAGAAUGAUUUCCAUGAUGACUUAGUGUAUUGGUAACAUAGGUUCAGUGCUAUCCUGGAUUAACUAAGCAUUUAUUAAUGGUAGUAUUCAAUGUGGUUUAGCUGAAAUUGCCAAAAAAAAUGAUUAUUUUGGAGUUGCUCUGUGAAGGCUUUGUGCUCAGUUCACCCAUAUUUGAUUACCUCUGCUUAAUUAGCAAGCAAUGUAACUACUAUUCCUUUAAUCGUUUGUCCAGUAUG